rnacentral:rRNA from 1 species
AUUAAACGCUGGCGGCAUGCCUUACACAUGCAAGUCGAACGGCAGCACGGGGGCAACCCUGGUGGCGAGUGGCGGACGGGUGAGUAAAGCAUCGGAACGUAUCCUGGAGUGGGGGAUAACGUAGCGAAAGUUACGCUAAUACCGCAUAUUCUGUGAGCAGGAAAGCAGGGGAUCGCAAGACCUUGCGCUCUGGGAGCGGCCGAUGUCGGAUUAGCUAGUUGGUGGGGUAAAGGCCUACCAAGGCGACGAUCCGUAGCGGGUCUGAGAGGAUGAUCUGCCACACUGGGACUGAGACACGGCCCAGACUCCUACGGGAGGCAGCAGUGGGGAAUUUUGGACAAUGGGCGGAAGCCUGAUCCAGCCAUGCCGCGUGAGUGAAGAAGGCCU